ACGAAAGGAAGGAAAACGGGAAAAAUGGGAAAAAGGAAAAAAAGGGAAAAAGAAAUUCCAUUGCUAAAAGUUUAUUAUUAUCAUCACUUUCUAUUUAUUUAUUUAUUUAUGUACUUCUUU
rnacentral:ribozyme from 1 species